UUUGUACUCCCUCCGUCCCAAAAUUCUUGUCUUAAAUUUGUCUAAAUACAUAUGUAUCUAGUUACAUUUUAGUGUUAGAUACAUCCGUAUCUAAACAAAUGUAAGACACGAAUUUUGGGACGGAGGGAAUACUAC
rnacentral:pre_miRNA from 1 species